rnacentral:lncRNA from 1 species
CUAUUUCCAUGAAGAGUGCUGAUAAUUCGAUGCAAAGAUUGAGAAAUUCAUUGGCUGAGAAACAGGCUGGGGUAGAAAUUGCUUAGGCAGCCUUGGAAGCUGCACAGGCUGCUCAUGAAGAAGAAAAAGGGAUUCUCCAUGCUCAAAUUGCUUCCCUUAAUUCCUUGUUGGAAAAAGAGAGAGCUGAAAAUGCAGAUGUUAUUAGAAAAUUCACCUCUCUUAUUCCCUCCUCUUCCUCUACUU